GGUAAGGAAUAACGUCGAGAAUCGGCGCUAAUACCUCAUAAUGCAGCGGAUCCGCAUGGAUAUGUUGUUAAAGGUUUACCGCCUUGGGAUAGGCUUGCGUCUGAUUAGCUAGUUGGUGUGGUAAUGGCACACCAAGGCUACGAUCAGUAACUGGUCUGAGAGGAUGAUCAGUCACACUGGAACUGAGACACGGUCCAGACUCCUACGGGAGGCAGCAGUGAGGAAUAUUGGGCAAUGCACGAAAGUGUGACCCAGCAACGCGCGUGGAGGGAUGAAGGUAUUCUAUAUCGUAAACUCCUGUGAGAGCAGACGAAAGACAGAUUAUUAAUUUGGAUGACUGUAUGCUCAGAGGAAGCCCCGGCUAACUACGUG
rnacentral:rRNA from 1 species